CCCUUAGAGUUUGAUCCUGGCUCAGAUUGAACGCUGGCGGCAGGCCUAACACAUGCAAGUCGAACGGUAACAGGAAGCAGCUUGCUGCUUCGCUGACGAGUGGCGGACGGGUGAGUAAUGUCUGGGAAACUGCCUGAUGGAGGGGGAUAACUACUGGAAACGGUAGCUAAUACCGCAUAACGUCGCAAGACCAAAGAGGGGGACCUUCGGGCCUCUUGCCAUCGGAUGUGCCCAGAUGGGAUUAGCUAGUAGGUGGGGUAACGGCUCACCUAGGCGACGAUCCCUAGCUGGUCUGAGAGGAUGACCAGCCACACUGGAACUGAGGCACGGUCCAGACUCCUACGGGAGGCAGCAGUGGGGAAUAUUGCACAAUGGGCGCAAGCCUGAUGCAGCCAUGCCGCGUGUAUGAAGAAGGCCUUCGGGUUGUAAAGUACUUUCAGCGGGGAGGAAGGUGCUGAGGUUAAUAACCUCAGCAAUUGGCGUACCCGCAGAAGAAGCCCGCACUCG
rnacentral:rRNA from 1 species